rnacentral:rRNA from 1 species
GAUGAACGCUAGCGGCAGGCCUAAUACAUGCAAGUCGAACGGUCCACUUCGGUGGAUAGUGGCGCACGGGUGCGUAACACGUAUGCAACCUACCUUACAUUGGGGGAUAGCCUUUCGAAAGGGAGAUUAAUACCGCAUAAGACAGUAACAUGGCAUCAUGUAGCUGUUAAAGAUUUAUCGAUGUAAGCUGGGCAUGCGUCCAAUUAGUUAGUUGGUGAGGUAAUGGCUCACCAAGACGAUGAUUGGUAGGGGAACUGAGAGGUCAAUCCCCCACACUGGGACUGAGAUACGGGCCAGACUCCUACGGGAGGCAGCAGUAGGGAAUAUUGGGCAAUGGACGCAAGUCUGACCCAGCCAUGCCGCGUGCAGGAAGAAGGCGUUCUGCGUUGUAAACUGCUUUUAUAUAGGAAGAAACGACCCUUGCGAGGGGCAUUGACGGUAUUAUAUGAAUAAGCACCGGCUAACUCCGUGCCAGCCGCCGCCGUAAUAC